UAAUGCCGAUGACAGUGCACGUACCCACAUAUGCAGUGUGUACGUACCUAGCCCCCGAGUCGAAAUGCGUCGCAUUUCGUCGAACGCGUCCGCGCCGGAAUCAUCAUCACCGUCGUUCAACGCCACCGCCGUCGCCGAACAUAUUUCAUAUACAAUGCGCACCUUCGAUUUGGUUAUUGGUGAAUUUGAUGGAUUGCUACAGGUUUCCAGUGCAUAUACUAUUACUUAUAUGGCGAUAAUUAUUUCAUAGCGGUAUUAUUGUACCUAUUUCAGAAACAACACGUUUUAUAAUGGAACUUAUAACACUAGCGACUACUAUAGAUUUGUCGAGUAAACGUUCGGGAAUACUGCAGAACACCGAAUACAUAAUGUAUGAAUAACAUGGGAAUUAUAUUACAUUAUCGCGUUUCGUCGUUUAUCUAACAACUGCAGAGCCGUAGUAGAGGUCAUUUAUAUGGUUUUUGAUGUUUGGCUACUUAGUUAAUUUCAUUUUUUUUUUUUUUUUAAUGAAUUGUUGUAGAUACGCUUCGGACAUAUUUGCAUAAAACAAUGGAAUUAUUAAAACUAAAUUCAAACGUAUAGCUGUGAACAUUAAACACAUUUAAACAGUUACGGAGCUAACACAAUAAGAAAAUCAAACGUCGAGUUUCCAAAUAGAGUGAAGAAAUUAAAAGGCUAUACUAUAUAUGGUGUCUAUAUAUCAUUUACGGAAAUGAACAUUUCGUCUCAGUUUGAUAAAUUAAGCAUUUUGAAGGACACAACGACGAAACAUUACAUACUCUGGCACACACGUUAAAUGUUUGAUGUACACUGCGCAUGCUUUCACGUGGAACACACUAUAAUGUUGUUUAGGAUGUGUUUCUAAAACUGUGCGCGAAAAAAAAUUUCUAUAACCUCUGUGACCUGACCACACACACACAAACACACAAACACACUAUAAUUCUAUUUUACCGGUGGAAAAUUCUAUUACUAUAUUAUAUGUUACAGAAAAGAGAUGUAUAUUUAACAAUAUUAUUUGUUGAAAAUCAAUCAAUUGCCAAUGACUGUAACGGAGUUUAUUAUUUCGAAUUUAAAAAAGAAAAAACAAUUUAUCGACUGAUAUAGCAAUAAACGCGCGGGAUGAAGUCUUCUAUAGGAAAAGUAUAAUAAAAAAUCGAACCCCCACUGAUCCGCAAGUUCGAGCAGUUCACGGAACGAAAUCGAAAGCUCCGUGUAAUACGCGCGGAACCUACAACCCCAAAUUGACAACUUCCACACAUUUUUAUGGUCAUCUCGCGGAUACACACGACGACGACGUUUUACUCGCGAAUCUUUUCCGUCCUGCGUGCUCUCUCAAAACGUGUACCUAAGCCUAUGUGUAUUGUGCAUAAAUGUAUAUUAUAUAUAUUUUAUAAACAUCAGGCGUGUAUAUAAGUAUAUAUUAUACCUAUGUGUAUAAUAUAAUAAAGAAUGUACCUGCAGCGGCCUACGCACAUAUAUAUAUACGCGACUUGUGGAGAAUACUGUUGCAGCAGCUCAGAUUACAAUCGCGGGUAAUCAGCAAUCGUAUUAACCGCGUUGCUAAUAAUAUAUUAUCAUUAAUAUU